rnacentral:snoRNA from 1 species
UGUACUGCAUGGUAUCUGCGUUCAGCAGCUUUUUUCAGAAAUUCAGUAUCUGGCAUGGUUCAUUUUCUUGGCUUUGUGCAUGUUAAACCUGGUGUUUCUAUUGGUACAGUA